rnacentral:rRNA from 1 species
GAGUCUGCCUUGAAGAUCGGAGUGCUUGCACUCUGUGAAACAAGAUACAGGCUAGCGGCGGACGGGUGAGUAACACGUGGGUAACCUGCCCAAGAGAUCGGGAUAACACCUGGAAACAGAUGCUAAUACCGGAUAACAACAGAUGAUGCCUAUCAACUGUUUAAAAGAUGGUUCUGCUAUCACUCUUGGAUGGACCUGCGGUGCAUUAGCUAGUUGGUAGGGUAACGGCCUACCAAGGCGAUGAUGCAUAGCCGAGUUGAGAGACUGAUCGGCCACAUUGGGACUGAGACACGGCCCAAACUCCUACGGGAGGCAGCAGUAGGGAAUCUUCCACAAUGGACGCAAGUCUGAUGGAGCAACGCCGCGUGAGUGAAGAAGGGUUUCGGCUCGUAAAGCUCUGUUGUUGGUGAAGAAGGACAGGGGUAGUAACUGACCUUUGUUUGACGGUAAUCAAUUAGAAAGUCACGGCUAACUACGUGCCAGCAGCCGCGGUAAUGCGUAGGUGGCAAGCGUUGUCCGGAUUUAUUGGGCGUAAAGCGAGUGCAGGCGGCUCGAUAAGUCUGAUGUGAAAGCCUUCGGCUCAACCGGAGAAUUGCAUCAGAAACUGUCGAGCUUGAGUACAGAAGAGGAGAGUGGAACUCCAUGUGUAGCGGUGAAAUGCGUAGAUAUAUGGAAGAACACCGGUGGCGAAGGCGGCUCUCUGGUCUGUUACU